rnacentral:tRNA from 1 species
GCCAGCAUGGUGUAGUGGUUUUGAGUGUUGGACUACCACUCUGGAGACCUGGGUUUGAUUCCCCACUCUGCCA